rnacentral:rRNA from 1 species
UACGUAGGGGGCUAGCGUUGUCCGGAAUCAUUGGGCGUAAAGCGCGUGUAGGCGGUCCGGUAAGUCCGCUGUGAAAGUCGGGGGCUCAACCCUGGACAGGCGGUGGAAACUACCAAGCUGGAGUACGGUAGGGGCAGAGGGAAUUUCCGGUGGAGCGGUGAAAUGCGUAGAGAUCGGGAAGAACGCCAAGGGCGAAGGCACUCUGCUAGGCCUGAUUUCGCGACUGACACUCAGGGACGAGAGCCAGGGGAGCGAAUGGG